rnacentral:lncRNA from 1 species
AAAGUUUAAGUUUCAAGGUAAAAUUUAGAAUUGAAUCAUAAUUUGAAUGGAGUAUAAAACUUUAGAUUUAAAUUUAGAAUUUGAAUUUGAGUUAUUUUUCAUUUUGAAAUUGAAUUUUAAUUUGGGUUUGAUAUUGAAUUUAAUUUUCAUUUUAGGUUUAAAUUUAUUCAAUUUGAAAUUUUAAUUUUACUUUGAAUUUACAUUUGAUUAAGUUUGAAUUUACAUUCAAACUCUAUAUGGUAAUGACUCAAUUGGCAUCUUAAGUUUGAGUUUAACUUUAAAUUCUGGUUUGAAUUUUGUUUUAAAUAUAGUUUUGAAUUUGAAUAUUAAUUAAAAAGUUGACUCUUAAAUUUUACGUUUAUGUUGUGACCAAAUUUUAAAUUUGAUUAAAUUUUGAUUUGAAUUUUGUUCAUGGUUUAAUUUUAAAUUGAAUUUUGGAUUGUUAGAGUUCAGGAUUAGAUUUGCAUAGUGAUUAUAAAUUUGAACUUUGAAUUUUAGAUUUGAAUUUAAAUU